rnacentral:rRNA from 1 species
UUCCUACGGGUGGCAGCAGUGGGGAAUAUUGGACAAUGGGGGCAACCCUGAUCCAGCCAUGCCGCGUGAGUGAUGAAGGCCUUCGGGUUGUAAAGCUCUUUUGGCGGGGACGAUGAUGACGGUACCCGCAGAAUAAGCCCCGGCUAACUUCGUGCCAGCAGCCGCGGUAAGACGAAGGGGGCUAGCGUUGUUCGGAAUUACUGGGCGUAAAGCGAGUGUAGGUGGUUUUCCAAGUUGGAUGUGAAAGCCUUGAGCUCAACUCAAGAAAUGCAUUCAGGACUGGAUGACUAGAGGACCGGAGAGGAUAGUGGAAUUCCCAGUGUAGUGGUGAAAUACGUAGAGAUUGGGAAGAACACCAGUGGCGAAGGCGGCUAUCUGGACGGUUUCUGACACUAAGACUCGAAAGCGUGGGGAGCAAACAGGAUUAGAUACCCUUGUAGUCCU